GGGGCAGUAGCUCAGCGGUCAGAGCAGCCGACUCAUAAUCGGUCAGGUCGUCGGUUCGAUCCCGACCUGCCCCA
rnacentral:tRNA from 1 species